AUGUAAUAAUUUCUUUAGAAAUAAAUGUAGUCUUAGCACUCAUCAAAGAAUGCAUACAUUAGAGGAUAUUUACAAAUGAAGCAAAUGAGACAAACACUUCACCAAGAAAGAUCAUCUUAGAACUUGUCAAAGAUACACACAGGAGAGAGACCAUUCAAAUGUAAAUGUUCAGGUCUUUUACUGUUAGCUCAUCUCUGACAAUAUAUCAGAGAAUAGAUACAAGAAAGAAAUCUCACAAAUGUAACACAAGGAAAGAUCUUUACCUGAAAAUAAGGUCUAACAAAAUAUCUGGAAAUUUAUAAUGGGGGUAGGGGAGGAGAUUCCACCAGAAAAUGUGGCAUGCGUUUUACCCAAGUGAAUUCUUUGCAACACUUGAGGCUGUUAUGAAUAUGAGGAACUUGUUAAAGCAUUUAAGUAAUAUUCAAAUAUUAGAAAUCACGAAGUAUUUUUGCUAGAGAAACUCUGAAAAUGUGAGGAUAAAGGAAAUUUUUCAAAUUGUUCACUAUUAAGUAUUUCAUAAUGCACACAAAGUAGAGAACCCAGAGAAUUUGGUAUUGUGUAACACUUUCGUGGAGACUGAAAUAAUCCAUUGCAAAGGAAAUCUGAUUAUACACGGAUAAUACACGUCUAAAAAUGAAAUGACAUCCAUAGCACUCUGUAUGUUUAACUCAAAUGAAGAAACACAGACACAAACUGAGCAACCAAAAUGGAAUGUUCUGUCCAUGUGCCUGUAGAUGCACAGAUGAGUGUCAAGUAUCCAUAAUCUUUAUCAUAUGCUGGUUCCAAGUUUCAGGAUAGCAGCUGUCUUUGAGUCUCUUGAGCUUCUUCCCCAUAGUCCUGUAUAUAACUUCAAUAAAUUUCAUUGGUUGAACAA
rnacentral:lncRNA from 1 species